GGUACUGUACUGUACUGAGGGAACUGAGGAGGCUAGGGUACUGUACUGUACUGAGGGAACUGAGGAGGCUAGGGUACUGUACUGUACUGAGGGAACUGAGGAGGCUAGGGUACUGUACUGUACUGAGGGAACUGAGGAGGCUAGGGUACUGUACUGUACUGAGGGAACUGAGGAGGCUAGGGUACUGUACUGUACUGAGGGAACUGAGGAGGCUAGGGUACUGUACUGUACUGAGGGAACUGAGGAGGCUAGGGUACUGUACUGUACUGAGGGAACUGAGGAGGCUAGGGUACUGUACUGUACUGAGGGAACUGAGGAGGCUAGGGUACUGUACUGUACUGAGGGAACUGAGGAGGCUAGGGUACUGUACUGUACUGAGGGAACUGAGGAGGCUAGGGUACUGUACUGUACUGAGGGAACUGAGGAGGCUAGGGUACUGUACUGAGGGAACUGAGGAGGCUAGGGUACUGUACUGAGGGAACUGAGGAGGCUAGGGUACUGUACUGUACUGAGGGAAAGCAAACAAAUACAUGAACUAGCAGACUAGCAAAUAAUUAGAAGAACUUGAUUUUUAAUGAUUUUUCCAAAUGUUUGUAUAGCAAUGAAUCUAUGCAGUGAC